GACGAACGCUGGCGGCGUGCUUAACACAUGCAAGUCGAACGGAAAGGCCCUGCUUUUGUGGGGUGCUCGAGUGGCGAACGGGUGAGUAACACGUGAGUAACCUGCCCUUGACUUUGGGAUAACUUCAGGAAACUGGGGCUAAUACCGGAUAGGAGCUCCUGCUGCAUGGUGGGGGUUGGAAAGUUUCGGCGGUUGGGGAUGGACUCGGGGCUUAUCAGCUUGUUGGUGGGGUAGUGGCUUACCAAGGCUUUGACGGGUAGCCGGCCUGAGAGGGUGACCGGCCACAUAGGGACUGAGGUACGGCCCAGACGCCAGCGGGAGGCAGCAGUGGGGAAUAUGGCACAAUGGGCGGAAGCCGGAUGCAGCAACGCCGCGUGCGGGAUGACGGCCUUCGGGUUGUAAACCGCUUUCGCGUGUGACGAAGCGUGGGUGACGGUAAUGGGGAAAGAAGCACCGGCUAACUACGU
rnacentral:rRNA from 1 species